GCCGGGGUAGCUCAGUUGGUUAGAGCGUGGGACUCAUAAGCCCAAGGUCGCCGGUUCGAUCCCGGCCCCCGGUACCA
rnacentral:tRNA from 1 species